GUUCCCCCUUCCGCGUUUCCAACAAGCCAACCCUUCUUUCAGUCUUCCAUCCUGUAAACAGAAAACAGCGAAGCCUUUUCUUCAUCAUCGUCCGCCUGUAGGGCUUUAGCAUGUAGCGAUUCCGGUAUUCGGCACCAAUUUCAAGCUCCAGUUGUCUGAAUUUGGAAUACAAUGGCUAAUAUAAUUCCAUCAGUGAUUGAUGGAUUUAAGGAACAUGAAAGAUUGGCCCUUUAUUGGGGUUUGGAGCUGUUCUCGGAUGGAGACAGUGUGGAUGUUCGUGAACUAGCAACGACAACUUUCCGUUCAGCUGCGAAUUAUUCGGUGCAAGUUCGGGAGGAGGCCGUUGUUCGUUUAGCAGAGAAUUUCACUGGUACAAAUAAUAUUAACCUGUUUGAACCGGUGGGAGAUUUUGGCAAUCGUUAUAAGGGUCCGUUAGAUUCUGGAGCUGAUACUACAGGUUUGGAGAUUACAAUCAAUCCGAUCACUCGAUUUAUCUUCAUUGAGGAAUGAGGAUGAUGAUUCAGUGGCCAAGCGGUUCCUUGAGGGAUGUAGUUCGUGUGGUAAAUCGCCUAAUUGGUUGAUUCCAAUCAUACCCUUUAUUCUUGUCAAUGGAUGUGAUGGAAAAGGGUCAUGGCUAAAAUCUUGUAUCCCCAAAUAUAAACCUCAAGACAUAAUUUCCAAUGUCCGACUAUAUUUGCAAAAAAAGGAAAUGAUUCCUAUGAUACCAUGGUUCAAGGGUUUCGAAGGCAAAGUUGAGUUGUCUCCAACAGAUUUGUCAGAUAAUACACAGUAUCUAAUCAGCGGAGUUAUUGCCAAGUUUGAUUGCAAAUCAAGGAGAGUUACAAUCACUGAAUUGCCUAUUGGGUUAUGGACUCAUGAAUAUAAAUCUUGGUUGGAUGAGCAACAAUGGAUUCAGUCUGUAAAGGACCUUAGUGAGUCUAGUGGAAAAAUACAUCUAGAAGUUACCUUGUCGAAUGAUGCCUGGCUAGCUGACGAGGGAUACCUGAUGAAGAAGUUGGAGCUUAUCAGGACAUUCAGUCUCAGUGAUAUGCAUGCUAGUAAUCCAUGUGGGAAUGUUGUGAAAUAUGAAAACCCGCUGGAAAUUAUAAUGGAUUUCGCUUCCUUUAGGUUGGCAUACUACAUAAAAAGGAAGGCGGACUUGUUGGCUGAUAUUAACUCAAAGCUGAUGUCAAACAUGUCUGAUAUCGAGAAUUUCAUUGGAAUCACUAGUCGUUCUUCUAAGGGAAUCAAGCAUUGGAUGUCCAAGUUGAAAGAGUCUCCAGAAACAGCAAAGUUGUCAAAUCUGUCAGAUUUGCUUUAUGAUAAAUUAAAAAUGAUUAACAAAGAUGAUUUCGUAAAAAGAGCAACGGAGAAUGACGUGGUCACAUUACUUGGGAGAGCUGUUACUCUCAGACAGUCACCGCGAAUUCGUGGGCAAAAUAACUUGUCUGAGGAUGAUUACUUAGCUUUGGAAACUGUGUGCAAUGCUCUUAAGAAAGUUAGUGCUGCUAUAUCUAAAAUUAGGGAAUUGUGUACCAGAAGGAAUGAUCUUAAGCGGAGGCUUAGUCAGCUUCAAAAGGAAGAUGGCCUUUCUUUGUGGCUCAAAGAUCUUGAUCAGCUUGAGCUGUGCUUUAAGGUGGAGUAAUUGCUUCUGCAAGAAUUGGGUGCAAUGUGAGGAAGAGGUGGAAUGCCAAAGCAGUAAAAGAGAAGCCAUGGCUCAAAGGAUAAGAGGUCUGAAAAGGAAGGCUGGAUUCAACCGUUAAGGCUUUCUUCUUUAUCCAAGUUGGUACUGUUCUUCUCUUAGCAGCCCAUAUGCUUUUCUCACAUCUUUCUUUGAUCUCAGUUCCUGCAUUAUGGACAUUGUGUUUACUUAAUUUGGGUGCUGUUUUUAUACAAUCCAAUAUUAAGGUUACGAUCUGAUUCAAUACUCAAGAAUAUCUGGCAAAUCACCUAUAUAGUUAUUUUAUUGAUAUAUAUUCUGGAAAUACUCAAGAAGAUCUGACAAACCACCGCCUGUUGAAGGGUGGGCUAAGGUCAAUGUUGAUGAUGGGCAGUUAGGGGAGGUUGGUUCGGGUCUGGGGGUCGUGGUUAGGUGGGGUGCACUGAAGAGGUUCUUGCUUGUGCUACUAUGCAAUGCCGAGAGCGUUGGGAGGUGACUAUUUCGGAGGCCAAGGUUGUGCUAUUGGGUCUGCUAAACUUGUGUCGGAUAAUUGUUGAGAGCGAUUGUUCGAUGGUGAUUCAAGCACUUCGAAAUGGAUCGAAGGGAAGCAACAUGUUUUCUUUCGUUAUUGUUGACAUUCUUGAGUUUUGUUCUUUUUAUUUAUUUAUUUUGUUUCUUGAUCUUUUGUUAAACGUAGUAGGAACAAACUUGCUCAUAAUUCAUUAGCUCAUUUCCAACCUUGGAAUACGGACAAUGAUUGUGGGAAGAUGACUUUUCGAGCAGUGCUUUGGAUGUAGCUGCUUCCGACAUUUUAAUAUAAUUUCCCGUUGAUGGGUUCCUUGUAAAAAAAAAAUGUGUACUUUCUGUUAAACUAGUAUUCCUAUGUGUUUUUACUCAAAAUAUUGCGAGCCACAAACUUGUAGGAGGACAUUUUGUGGGAAAGAGGGAGUAUUCUUUUUCUUGUAUUGGACUGGUUCAUUUAACAAUAUUUAUCACUCUAACUCUUCAAGUCUUCAAUCAUGUAUGAAAAAUAUUAUGAGGCAAGCAAUAGUAGCUUUUAACUAUGGGUGUGACCUUGAUGCCUAAUGUGACUUCAUUCAAUUG